CGAAGGCUAGACCGUCCCAUUUCACAAGCCUCUCACUUCCACACUUCUCGUACUUGUAGUACGCACCGUACGUAGUAUGCGUAGUGCGCGUACUUCAAGCGUGCAGACCCUGAAUUGGGACACAGCCAUACUGUCAUGGUCUGGGUGAAACAGCAGCACCUGUGUUCCUGGCGUCUCUCCACCCCUGGGCGGGGCCCUGGGGCUCUACAGGAUUGACGACACCUGUGAGCAAUUAGUGAUGGUAAAUUCGAUUCUUUUUACUGAAUCGAGUUUUAAUGAGUCACUCACCAAAGUGAAUCGGAUUUCUUGAGUCACUGAGUCAGUUGACCAGAGAGUGCAAAAAUGUAUAUUUUCACUCAAACCUCAUUUGUUUUUCUUUUAACGUAAAUCCUACUGCUAAGAUGAAUGAUUGUAAAAGAAAACAACUAUUUUUUUAGAGCAAAAAAGAGCAAAAAAAUUCUAAAGGGAACAUUUAUUUAUUUUUAUUUUAUUUUAUUGGUAUUUUCCUUAAAUGUGUCAAAUAUAUCUCAUCUAAAUGUCCACUGAGCUGUGAGCCAGGGGACGGUAAAGCGCCUUAACAUUGGUUGCCAACCAAGAAGAAGAAGAAGCUGUGCGCCAGGAUGGAGGGGGUGAGUGAGUCCUGAGUGAUUCGCUUAUGCUAUGAUUCAGCACAGCAAGGGAGGGGGUGAGUAACUCAAAUGUGCUGUUAGCAUGCUAGCUGAGCAAUGCUACUGUGAACCGAGGAGCUAUUGUCUUGAUUUAGCACCUGGACGCUUCGUUGCUCAGUUUGCCGUCUUGUUGUGGUGGGACGCUGGACUGCCUGCUGCUUCAUUGGACUCACUCACCUGCCUGCCCCCUCUGUGGAACACAGGUUGUUUGUUUGGACUUUAUUGGGAUUUUUUCCAGACCGACUCCGCCCUCUACGCGUGGUCUCCGCUAUUUGAAAAUACUUUGAGGACAUAACCUUCCCAGAUCCACGACAGCCCCCAAGGCUCCCUCACGGAUUCCCUCACGGCUUUUGAAUAUCUGAUAGUGACUGUUUGACUCAUGCCAUGCCUUCUCUAGUUGAUUGCUUACACUGUGCCUUAUUAGUUUUUGUUAAUGAGGCAUUCAAUGUAAAAUAGGAAUUCUGAGUUGUGCCUCACUUCUAGUUCUCUUGAAUGCUUUCAUAGCUAGGAUAAGGUUCGUUUCUGCCUUCCUGAAUUAGCGUUAAAGGGUUAAUCAUAUUAGUCUGGCGUUUUCCUAGUUUCCUUGCCCUCCUUAGUUGCACUCGUCGCCAGGUUUUCCUUAAUUUCUUCUGAUUUGUUACCUUGUGUAAAUAAACGCUGUUGUCGCAUUUUCACUCCUCACCUCCGGGUGGUAUCUGCACUUUGGUCCACACCUUGUUUACAGGCCUGCCGGCCGUGACACAUUCACAGCAGAAGCAUCAGUGUGAAUAACAAAGGAAAAAGACUCGUGUGUUAUGAGAAUUGCUAAGAAGUAUGAUCACCUGUAUUUGAUGUUGUUUUUUUCUAACAUGUAUCCUUUAUGGCAGC
ensembl:lncRNA